UCUUCUGGCUGUCCGAGUUGUAAUCUGGAGAAGCGUUUUCUGUGUUAGACCGUGUACAAGUCUCCUGGAACGGAGCCUCAUAGAGGGUGAGAAUCCCGUCCAUGACACGGACUACUAAUACUUUGUGAUACGCUCUCAAAGAGUCGAGUUGUUUGGGAAUGCAGCUCAAAAUGGGUGGUAAAUUCCAUCUAAAGCUAAAUACUGGCGAGAGACCGAUAGCGAACAAGUACCGUGAGGGAAAGAUGAAAAGCACUUUGGAAAGAGAGUUAAACAGUACGUGAAAUUGUUGAAAGGGAAACGCUUGAAGUCAGUCGCGUUGUGCAGAACUCAGCCUUGCCUCGGCUUGGUGUACUUUCUGCACGCAACGGGUCAACAUCAAUUUUGGUCCAUGGAGAAAGGUAGGGGGAAUGUAGCGCUGCUUCGGCAGCGUGUUAUAGCCCUCUAUUGUAUGCAUGGGCUGGGAUUGAGGAACGCAGCACGCCCUUGUGGCCGGGGGUUCGCCCCACGUACCGUGCUUAGGAUGUUGGCAGAAUGGCUUUAAGCGACCCGUCUUGAAACACGGACCAAGGAGUCUAACAUGCUUGCAAGUGUUCGGGUGGAAAACCCUUGUGCGUAAUGAAAGUGAAAGUUGGGAACCUCCGCAAGGGGGGGUGCACCGACGCCCGGCCCUGACGUUCUCUGACGGUGCUGCGGUAGAGCAAGUAUGCUAGGACCCGAAAGAUGGUGAACUAUGCCUGAAUAGGGCGAAGCCAGAGGAAACUCUGGUGGAGGCUCGUAGCGAUUCUGACGUGCAAAUCGAUCGUCAAA
rnacentral:rRNA from 1 species